UGCAAGUCGAGCGGACAGAAGGGAGCUUGCUCCCGGAUGUUAGCGGCGGACGGGUGAGUAACACGUGGGUAACCUGCCUGUAAGACUGGGAUAACUCCGGGAAACCGGAGCUAAUACCGGAUAGUUCCUUGAACCGCAUGGUUCAAGGAUGAAAGACGGUUUCGGCUGUCACUUACAGAUGGACCCGCGGCGCAUUAGCUAGUUGGUGAGGUAACGGCUCACCAAGGCGACGAUGCGUAGCCGACCUGAGAGGGUGAUCGGCCACACUGGGACUGAAACACGGCCCAAACUCCUACGGGAGGCAGCAGUAGGGAAUCUUCCGCAAUGGACGAAAGUCUGACGGAGCAACGCCGCGUGAGUGAUGAAGGUUUUCGGAUCGUAAAGCUCUGUUGUUAGGGAAGAACAAGUGCAAGAGUAACUGCUUGCACCUUGACGGUACCUAACCAGAAAGCCACGGCUAACUACGUGCCAGCAGCCGCGGUAAUACGUAGGUGGCAAGCGUUGUCCGGAAUUAUUGGGCGUAAAGGGCUCGCAGGCGGUUUCUUAAGUCUGAUGUGAAAGCCCCCGGCUCAACCGGGGAGGGUCAUUGGAAACUGGGAAACUUGAGUGCAGAAGAGGAGAGUGGAAUUCCACGUGUAGCGGUGAAAUGCGUAGAGAUGUGGAGGAACACCAGUGGCGAAGGCGACUCUCUGGUCUGUAACUGACGCUGAGGAGCGAAAGCGUGGGGAGCGAACAGGAUUAGAUACCCUGGUAGUCCACGCCGUAAACGAUGAGUGCUAAGUGUUAGGGGGUUUCCGCCCCUUAGUGCUGCAGCUAACGCAUUAAGCACUCCGCCUGGGGAGUACGUCGCUAGACUGAAACUCAAAGGAUUUGACGGGGGCCCGCACAAGCGGUGGAGCAUGGUGUUUUAAUUCGAAACAACGCGAAAAACCUUUACCUGGUCUUGAA
rnacentral:rRNA from 2 species